GACACGGUGGCCGAGCGGUUUAUGGCGUUUGAUUCGAAAUCACAUUCAUGCAAAUGAGCGCAGGUUCGAAUCCUGCCCAUGUCUCCA
rnacentral:tRNA from 1 species